AUGAGUUAAGUAUAAACCCCUUUACAAGUAUCAAUUGGAGGGCAAGUCUGGUGCCAGCAGCCGCGGUAAUUCCAGCUCCAAUAGCGUAUAUUAAAGUUGUUGCAGUUAAAAAGCUCGUAGUUGGAUUUCUGUUAAUAAUUUAUAUAUAAUAUUUUAAUGAUAUUUAUAUAAUAUUAACAUAAUUCACAUUACUAUUAUUAGUAUGUGAAAUUUUACUUUGAGAAAAUUAGAGUGCUUAAAGCAGGCAUUUGCCUUGAAUACUCCAGCAUGGAAUAAUACAAAAGAUUUUUAUCUUUUUUAUUGGUUCUAAGAUAAAAAUAAUGAUUAAUAGGGACAGUUGGGGGCAUUUGUAUUUAACAGUCAGAGGUGAAAUUCUUAGAUUUGUUAAAGACAAACUAAUGCGAAAGCAUUUGCCAAGGAUGUUUUCAUUAAUCAAGAACGAAAGUUAGGGGAUCGAAGACGAUCAGAUACCGUCGUAGU
rnacentral:rRNA from 1 species